CAUUCAUAUCAUGGUGAAACACCAGUUCUCGUAUGAUCACUGAAGUUAAGCAACGUUGAGCCUGGUCAGUACCUAAAUGGAUGACCACUUGGGAAUUCCAGGUGUUGUAA